GCGAACGCUGGCGGCAGGCCUAACACAUGCAAGUCGAACGCAUCCUUCGGGAUGAGUGGCAGACGGGUGAGUAACACGUGGGAACGUACCUUUCGGUUCGGGAUAACUCAGGGAAACUUGUGCUAAUACCGGAUAAGCCCUUACGGGGAAAGAUUUAUCGCCGGAAGAUCGGCCCGCGUCUGAUUAGCUUGUUGGUGAGGUAACGGCUCACCAAGGCGACGAUCAGUAGCUGGUCUGAGAGGAUGAUCAGCCACAUUGGGACUGAGACACGGCCCAAACUCCUACGGGAGGCAGCAGUGGGGAAUAUUGGACAAUGGGCGAAAGCCUGAUCCAGCCAUGCCGCGUGAGUGAUGAAGGCCCUAGGGUUGUAAAGCUCUUUCGGCGGGGACGAUAAUGACGGUACCCGCAGAAGAAGCCCCGGCUAACUUCGUGCCAGCAGCCGCGGUAAU
rnacentral:rRNA from 1 species